CUUCAGUGAUGAUACGAUGACGAGUCAGAUCGGGGCCGGCUUUGUGGAGAGUCUGGUGCGGCGCCACGUUCUGUGUCUCUGUACUUGGGCUUUCUCCACUUGAGCCGCGUCCCAGCUCCUGAUUGAUUUAGAGGCAUUUGUCUGAGAAGA